CACAUUGGCUUCUGGAAGCCUAUGGCUCCACCUGCAAACCUCCUCCUCCUCCUUCCCUCGCCCAGCCUGGCAGCCAGCAUGAGGCUCUUCCACAUCCUGCUGCUGCCUCUCUGCCUGCUCUUCGCCCAGGUGGGCCCAGGUGCUGGCCUCCUCGCAAAUCUGGGCCCCAAGAUGGACGACUACAAAUGUGCCCUCAAGGAGGGGUUCUGUUACUCCUCCCAAUGCCCGCAACCCACUGAGAGCAAUGGCCACUGCUACAGAGGGAGGGCCAAUUGCUGCGUCUGACCUGGAGCCACGGAGGAGACAAAGCCACAGGAACUACUUAAUCAAUGGAAACAUGUCCUGGGGUGAGGCUUGAAAAACAAGAAGUAAAGAUGAGCUUUGUGCUGAGGGUCCCCCAUCUUCUCAAGCUGCUGGCUCUUGAAUAAACCUGCUUUGCUCCAUCA